CUCGGAGGAUGGGGCUGUGUCGUGUCUGUGUGGCCGGAAGCGAUAAGUAACAAGUUAGCGGGAAAGGAAGGCCGCUAAGCAGAGCCCGCGAAGGCAAGUGGGUGGAAGGGAGAUCUUCAGAGCUGUCACUAGUUCAGUUAACGAUUGUCGAAUGGUUGGUACUGAAAAUAAUGGGGGGAAUGGCUGAAGAAAGUGCACUUUAGAUGAAAUUUAAAACCGACAUCCUGACCCUUUUGUGUUCUCAUUUCAGCCUAUGCUCAUCUGUGACGUCAGGAUGGGUGCACGCUUGCAACAUGGUUGUCUGUAAAGACACAGAAGCCACCCUCUUGGUUGUGAACAGCCAGCCUGGAGAAGACCUCAGUCCCAAAUCCCAGGAUUUCUUUGGUAAACCAAACUCCAGUGAGCACAGUAGAGUCUUUCAUGGAAGAACCAGUGGAGGAUAUAGCAUCUCAGCCAGGAAUGUGCUUUAACCAAGCUUGUGAUCUGUCAGAAGCUAGCAAUCACAGCAAGGCAGUGAAUGGAAUAGCAUGAGAUAAAAGUUUACAAUUUCUUUUUCCAAAUUACACAGGAAGGAUGUAAAACUAUGCUGAGACUCGGACUUUUUGUUUGUUUGUUAAGAACUUUCAAGAGAGGCUCGGAUGUAGUGAGUGAAGAGAGGACACCUAAGAGACUGCUGUCUGUGAGCUAACAGCUAUACAGCCUAAGAGCCCAACAACAGAAGAGCUGGUACUCUCCAGGCAGUAAGACCAGCAUCACAAAAUGGAGUUCAGCAGCAGGAGGGCCAAGGGAGGGCUGCAAAAUGAAAAAAAGGAGAAGCUAGUGACAGAGGAGAUGUGAACUCUGGCUGAAAAGAUGGUGACACAGUGUCUUUGCCAUGAUAGGGAGAUGAGGGAGCAAGACAUGGCAUUUCAAAGGGACGUCUGAGAGACUGUUAGGGAUUAUGAACCAGUCAAUUCCAAGCUCUACUGCCCAACCCACAUGUCCAGUCCCAUCACUUCACUUCCAUUGCACCAUAUCUUCCAGCAUAUGUACAAGUCUAGAUGUGGGAGUCGGAGAGCAAGUCAAUGAGUCAUAGCACUGCACACCAUCAGCAGUAGCUGCGGUGUUCUGCCCCUAUUCCUACACAGGGGAACAAACUGGUAUCUUGAAGAUGUACAGUUCCAUUAGAUGUAACAGUGCACAUCAAUAUUUUCAGUAUAUUUUGCUCUUUGCUUCAGUAUUUUGCACUGUUAUAUUCUUGCUUACACCUGUUAAUGUUCUGCACAUCUUUUCAACUUCGUAAUGCUGGCUGGACUGCCCAAAACACGUUUUGCCUGGGGAAGACAGGGGCUGGUGAGCGCUUUGUAUAGCUCCAUGAAUGUACUUUUCUCAUACAAAAGCUCUGGACCCUGACCCUGCUGGCCUGUGUUUCACAAUGUAGUCCCACCACUCUGUGCUUGUGACCCUGAUCCAGAAGCAGCAGUUUGCCUAGUGUGCUUGGGGAUGUCUGCCAUGAAAGACAGCACUUGCUAGGUCCAUGCCGCCCUAUCUGCAUAGUGCUGGCCUUUUUGCCUUGUGCUUGUAUCAGCAAGCCCCUGCCUUCCCCAGGCAAAACGCCACCUUCACCCUAUUUUUGUGGCAGCUUCUGCAAAGGCAUGCCAAAGAAUUAUUGUUUCAAUAAAAAACAGCAGCUGUCACUCCCAGUUGUUAAGACAAGCAGAUUACCUCCUUGCAGCACAAGGAGGUAACAGAGCACCAGCUUGUGUCCUGGCAAUUUUGUGGGUCUAGACCAUUUCUGCCAACUAUCUCCAUAGGGGUAAGACGUUGCCACAUACCCAUGUCCUCUGAAAGUUAACUCUAGAGUAUGUACCUAGAAAUCUUUGCAUUUCAGGAUUGAAUACAGCACCAGUACUGACGCCGUGUGUGACUGCAUAUGUCGGGUAUUCAACUGCUGUUCUGCAGCGUGGUCAUGCUAUACUGAUUUGUAAUGUCCAACUCAAAAUUAGACUGCAGUGAAGACAAAGUCUGUGUCUCAUGCUACCAGAAAAUGUUUUUUUCCUCUAAUGUUACUGUACAAAAAACCCACAAGCAAUAUGGAAAAUGGACUAGACAGUGGAAAACCAGUGAAAAUGACUACACACAAAAUCCUGCUAAAUACAUAAACAAAUUAAUUAUAAAAAUAUAGUUCUCUUCUAAUCUUUAAUUUCUUAAAUUCUUAGGUAAUAUUUGAACACACUAGCACUUACAAUUUCAAAAAGUGAUUUUUAAGUUGACAAUGUCCCUUUAAAUAAAAUACAAAAUAUUAGCUAAAACAUUUUGCAUUCUUAUUAGAAAAUUCCAGCAACUAUAGUACUAAAAGCAUCUUUGUGGUUGAUCCAAGACUGUAGGGCAAGCUUUCUAAAUGAAGCAGGAAAAUGUUAUGUAAUUUAAACAUUGCUGAUUGCUAAACACAGGUGCUGAAUAAUAUCAGAAUUAUAGCUCCUUAAAAUGCAACCACAAGAUUUACACAUUUAUUAAAUUUAAUAAAAGCUACUUGCAAUGCAAAGUAUGCAUACAACAAAAUGUUAGCGUUAUCACCAGAACUAAGUUUCUGGACACCUGAAUCUAAUUAACAUUAGUGAGAGUCAUACAGUUAACAGGGCAAUGAAAUUUCCUCAGGCUAUGAUUCCUAAAAUGCAAUGGGGAAAACAAUAGGAUCUUCAUUUAGAAGUCUGCUCUUUGAACUAGAAUGUUUAUGUCCUUAAACAAUACAGAAAAAACUUACUGCUAUAAAUUUAAACUGUUUCCUUUAGUUAAUGUAAACACUGUUUUUAAUUAUACACCUCUACCUUGAUAUAACGCUGUCCUUGGGAGCCAAAAAAUGUUACCACAUUAUAGGUGAA